AUCCCAUGAUGAGGACACUUACAAAGUAAUUCCAUGAAUCUUUUACAUGCCUCGUAUAAAUACUCGUCAUCCAAUUGUUGGAAGUAGUUAUCUCAUUUCGCAACUU
rnacentral:snoRNA from 1 species